rnacentral:rRNA from 1 species
GACGAACGCUGGCGGCGUGCUUAACACAUGCAAGUCGAACGGAAAGGCCCUGCUUGCAGGGUACUCGAGUGGCGAACGGGUGAGUAACACGUGGGUGAUCUGCCCUGCACUUCGGGAUAAGCCUGGGAAACUGGGUCUAAUACCGGAUAGGAGCCAUUUUUAGUGUGAUGGUUGGAAAGUUUUUUCGGUGUAGGAUGAGCUCGCGGCCUAUCAGCUUGUUGGUGGGGUAAUGGCCUACCAAGGCGGCGACGGGUAGCCGGCCUGAGAGGGUGGACGGCCACAUUGGGACUGAGAGACGGCCCAGACUCCUACGGGAGGCAGCAGUGGGGAAGAUUGCACAAUGGGCGCAAGCCUGGUGCAGCGACGCCGCGUGGGGGAUGACGGCCUUCGGGUUGUAAACUCCAUUCGCUAGGGACGAAGCUUUUUGUGACGGUACCUAGAUAAGAAGCACCGGCUAACUACGUG